rnacentral:misc_RNA from 1 species
UUUAAACCAAACCCGCCCUCACACUCCCACUCAUUGCUCAUACAAGCCACAACCCCUCUGCCACUGUCUUGAUCCAGCACCCCCUUCUCCCAUCACGAUACCCACCUCCUCACCACCAUAAUAACUAAACCUGCAGCAGAAAUGACAGGGAACCAAACCAUGCAACAGAAAACAAGGACAUCCUCUAGUCCAUUCCAUAAAGAGGGUGGGUAACCCAGUGCAUGAAGCAUCUCACACUCAUGAGCUUCAGAGAGAAUUGAUGUACACAGUCUUACCCCUUGUUUCCAGAGAGGCUGUUUCCAUAUCCUUCGUCCAUUCCAUCCAAAGGCAAAUAUCAAAACGAAAAAAGAUUUCCAUUGGGGCUGAGUUGCAAUUCUACACAAUAGAUCAUUCCUCAACCAGCCCCAUUCACGCAAUAACAGCAUAUCAAUUUAAAAGAUGGGAAAACUAAAAAUAAUUAGAAACCCACUCAAACAAACUUCAGCAUCAGAACUCAAAUGACAAAUACUAACUACUAG